rnacentral:rRNA from 1 species
UACGUAGGGGGCAAGCGUUGUCCGGAAUCAUUGGGCGUAAAGAGCGUGUAGGCGGCUCGAUAAGUCUGCUGUGAAAGUCCAGGGCUCAACCCUGGAAGGCCGGUGGAAACUGUCGGGCUAGAGUCCGGAAGAGGCGAGUGGAAUUCCCGGUGUAGCGGUGAAAUGCGCAGAUAUCGGGAGGAACACCAGUGGCGAAGGCGACACGCUGGGCCAUACCUGACGCUAAAGCGCGACAGCAUGGGGAGCAAACGGG